CCACCAUUCCUGAUUUAUCUCCACUCCUGGUUAAAUGAAUCAAAGCAGAUAAUUAAAUAACUUACAAUGAGAAACAAUGGUAGAAGAAAGAAAACAAUAUCUCAACCCUCCGCAGACAACUAUCUCUAGAGAGCGCCACCAAUCUGAAAGCAAAGGGAAAUGUCAGACCAGCAUGCUGUCCGUGCUACAGAAAGAAUAUUAUGGCACCAACCACAUGGGAUGAACUUGAGGCAUCAUAGGGUAUGUACAUGACAUUCGCCAAAUUUAGCAGCCGGUCCCAAGAUGGGAACAGAUUCCGAUGGAAGGGUUAAGGUUUUCUAAAGUUGCCUCCUCCAAAAUGGAAUGUGGAUGGUUGGUAUGACCACAGAUAUCAGCAUCCCUAUCGUUUAUGGGGGCCCCCCCACUCUCCUGGAGACCCCAGAUGCCACAAAACUGCCAGGCUCCAAGACAGAGUGCUGUCCCAUUGAAGGAUUGGGCUUCCACAAAAUCCAGGGUUGCACCAUUGAAAUACAAGGGCUUCUUCUCUUGUUGGAACAACAUCUCUGAUGCUCUGGAGCUGUCCCAGGUCCUGACUUGCCACCUGCUGACAGCUACCAGCCUCCUACCAACCUCCUGACCACAUUGCCUGCUCUCAGGCAUUAUCCAGACUAGUUUCCUUAUAAGGCAUUGCUCAGCAAAUGCUCAGCAAACCCUUCUGCCCCCGGUGUAAACUGAUACAUGGAAACGCAUGCAAACAUGCAACUGCCGAGGCCUUAUCUGUGCUCGCAUUUUACUGGGUCACAUGCACUGCGCCCAACUCAAAUUGCAGUUAGAGGCAGCUGCUAGGUGGGUCUUUCGGGAGCAGAGGUGGCUGAGUAUUUCAUUGCAACGUGGUUCCUUCCAGUUCGGCAGUGUGAUGGCCUGGGAUUCCGAUUCGGAGGAUGAAACAGAGGAAUCCCAGCCUGCACAGGAGUCCCCGCCUCCAGGGCCGGCUGAACUGGGGCAAGGCCUAGAUGCUGAAGAGCCUGCACCUGUGGCAGUGCAUCAGGAGCUGGCCCCAGGUGAAGCCCUUCUGGCCCCAGAGGGGCUUGAUGACUCAGUGGCCACAGGUGAGCCUCCUCCAGGGCCCAGUAACCCUCUCGGCCUCUCCUGAUCUGCAGAGGCUUAGGGCAGAGAGGCGAAGGGAACUGGUUGCCCCCAGGAGGAGUGCUCGCCUUAAGGCCAGAGGAGGCGGGGCUCCUGGGGACCGGGACCGCCCUGGCCUUAGAAGAGGAUAAAAGCCCAGUCAGCCCGGCCCCAGGUUGCGGGAGCAACGUCGUUGUUGGCUCGGACCUUCCUGUGCUCCUGUUCCCUGCUCGGCUUCCUGUUCCUGACUAUCCGGUACUCCUGUUCCCUGCUCGGCUUCCUGUUCCUGACUAUCCGGUACUCCUGUUCCCUGCUCGGCCUCCUGUUCCCGACCAUCCGGUGUUCCUGUUCCCUGCACAGCCUCCUGUUCCAGCAUUCCUGUUCCCCGCCCGGCUCUCUGCCUCGGACCUUGCCCCUCUUCGUGUGGACUCUGCUACACCCAAGGUACCUUACCCCCGGGACCAGCACAGGCAGAAACGUAAUGACAGAGAGCCAGCCUGGGUUGAAACUGCGACACAGUUAAUCAAACAAUGCAAAGAGCAGAUAAUAAUAUUAUGGUGAUACAGAAGAAGCACGUUUGGAUGGGUGGGGGUAAUGCUGGUUGAUCUGGUUUCAAACCAGGAAGGUGGCAACCGUGAGAGGUAGCCAUGGCAAUGAGAAUAUUUAAUUUCCUGAGAUUGUGAAAGGAAGGCAUUCCUGCUCUCUUCUUUCUUCCCCUCUCCACGUCUGUCGUUGACCACAAAGGAAUGCUAGAUCUGCCUCGUAGUUGUUGGUUUUUUUUAAGGCAAAGUCAUCACUGUAGCUAAUUUUGAAAUGCUGCUAUGGAAAAGGGUUAGGCACCCUGACACGCACAUGGGCAUGAGGCGAGAUGGAUGCUAUGCACCGGGAUGUAGUCAGAGAAAACGGAAACAUGCUGCGUCAAGCUUCU